UUGAGCUGAAAAGACUGUUUCUCAAAAAACCAAACAAAAAAAAAAAAAACUAACUUUAAACUAGCCUGAGUUUUCAGCUAGAACUCUCUCUCUCUCUCUUUCUCUCUGAAGUUCCAAACUUUCAACACAGUUCAGAUUCGGCAGUGGCUGACGAGCCGAGCCAUGCCAGGCCCAGGUCCGCACAUGAUGUACGCCAUGGGUUCGGGCCUGGCCAUGUCGUCUCUCACCAAUGGCCGCUUCAGCCCGCACCACACUCUCACCUACACAGUCAACGCUUUCUUUGGCCCUGACAUCGGUUCCUUCUCCGAGUGGCUCAGCUCCACCAUUGGCUUCGGCCACACCUUUGCCUCAGCGCUAGCCGAUGCUAUCCACCACCCCUUUUACUAUAUCCUCAUUCUUGGCCUCCCUCUCUGCUUUCUCUACUCUUGGAUCUCCAGGGUUUUGAUCCAAAAGGGUGUUCUUGAUUCUGUCUCCGGGGUACCACUUACUAGGAAGCAAUGCUUAUUGUUGAUCGCUGCUGGUUCUUUAACACACUUUUUCCUUGAUCACUUGUUUGAGUUUCUUGUAGAUAUAGAGAUUGAAGUAGCAGUUCUACAAUGUUAAAGCAGGGUAGAGAGAUGUUUUUACCUUUUGGGUUGUCAUAUGUGGCCAUGAGGAUCAGCCAUGCUUGAUGGCACGAAUAGGAAAGCAAUUCACCAACAUAUUUGGGAAACAAGUGUAAGGAUGUUCAUUGGAGGAAUGGCAUGAUGGAAUUGGAUAAGAUUGUUAUUAGUUGCACCCCUGAGAAGUCAGAAUCAGCAUUAGCAGGGAAUGAUAUGGUUGGAAAUUCAAUACAUUGGUUGAGUUCAUUCUGCUUAGGUUCAAGUUGAGCUGCUGCUAGGGAAAGGGGACAUGCAGGGCUACGUAGGCUGAGGAAAAUGGACAUUCAAAAAUGUAUACUUGGAUAUUGAGCACUGGUUGGUGGGAGACCCGAGCACCUGUCAACCCAGAUGCUGUUGUUGUAGUUGGCUUCUUAUGCAUUUGCUUAAUUGGUGGCUUUAUUUACAUCAACAGAGUGAAGUCCGUAAAAUCCACUAGAAAUAAAUCAUAUCAAUCAAUGAAACUUAUACUGAUCAUAGCAAGCCUGUAUUGUUUAUGGUGCGCAAGCCAAAUAUACUGGGCAAAUCCUCGUCGGCCGGCUGUUGGUGAAGAGGCUGACCUUGGAGUUAUUGUAUUUUUAGCCACGUAUUUUUUUCUCCCUCACUGUUUGUGUAUUAUGUCCAUGUACCCAAAAGAUCUUAAUUCUGAGCAGAUUCCCCUUUAAUAAUAGUACCAUUAUAAACAUGAUAAAUGAACAGCACACUUCUGCCAACCUUAUGUAGUUGAACAAAUGCGUCGAGCAAAGAUUCACGUUCUGCAAUUUGUCAUGAAUCCUUCAGUUUUCAGAAUUUCUAUUCAUUAAUUUGUACUCUUCACUGUGUAUCAAGUUAUUGUUUUUCUUGAAAGAUCAUGAAAUUUUUGUAAAUUCAAAGCAGUAUAUACUUGGAUUAUAACUUGUAAGCCAUUCUUAUAAAGCUUGAUUAUUUCCCUAUUUGUGGGAACACCUUUAUUAA